CCUACGGGAGGCAGCAGUGGGGAAUAUUGGACAAUGGGCGAAAGCCUGAUCCAGCCAUGCCGCGUGUGUGAAUAAGGUCUUCGGAUUGUAAAGCACUUUAAGUUGGGAGGAAGGGCAUUAACCUAAUACGUUAGUGUUUUGACGUUACCGACAGAAUAAGCACCGGCUAACUCUGUGCCAGCAGCCGCGGUAAU
rnacentral:rRNA from 1 species